CCUACGGGUGGCAGCAGUGGGGAAUCUUCCGCAAUGGGCGAAAGCCUGACGGAGCAACGCCGCGUGAGUGAUGACGGCCUUCGGGUUGUAAAACUCUGUGAUCCGGGACGAAAAGGCAGAGUGCGAAGAACAAACUGCAUUGACGGUACCGGAAAAGCAAGCCACGGCUAACUACGUGCCAGCAGCCGCGGUAAUACGUAGGUGGCAAGCGUUGUCCGGAAUUAUUGGGCGUAAAGCGCGCGCAGGCGGCUUCCCAAGUCCCUCUUAAAAGGGCGGGGCUUAACCCCGUGAUGGGAAGGAAACUGGGAAGCGGGAGUAUCGGAGAGGAAAGUGGAAUUCCUAGUGUAGCGGUGAAAUGCGUAGAGAUUAGGAAGAACACCGGUGGCGAAGGCGACUUUCUGGACGAAAACUGACGCUGAGGCGCGAAAGCGUGGGGAGCAAACAGGAUUAGAUACCCGAGUAGUC
rnacentral:rRNA from 1 species